CGGACGGGUGAGUAACGCGUAGGAAUCUACCGAGUAGUGGGGGACAACAGUUGGAAACGACUGCUAAUACCGCAUAAUCCCUGAGGGGCAAAGGAGGGGAUCUGUUUACAGACCUUUCGCUAUUUGAUGAGCCUGCGUGAGAUUAGCUAGUUGGUGAGGUAAUGGCUCACCAAGGCGACGAUCUCUAGCUGGUCUGAGAGGAUGAUCAGCCACACUGGAACUGAGACACGGUCCAGACUCC
rnacentral:rRNA from 1 species